CGUAGAACACGAUUGGAAAGUGUGGGGUGGGGGGAGACAUGCGCACAGUCUGUGUGCCUGGGAGAUGGGCUGAGCUCUUAGAGCACCACUCAGUGCUCCCCCUCUCUCUCUGCUCACUUACACUCUGGCAGCUUGCUGUAUCGCUGCCUCUCCCGUUACACGGAAGGUCCCUGGAGCUGAUCUGUGAUCCUCACACACAUACAGCCCCCUCGGAGUUCCUGUUUCCGCCGAAUACUGCCUGACGCGAUCAAAUACCAGUGAAUCCACCGUCUAAUGUGCAUAUUCACAUACACAGAAAACAUCCUUCAACCAAACGGGGAAAGGAAGCGAUCUCAAGCAGCUGAGCGGAGCCCGGAACCUCCCUGACCCGGAGUGGCAGAUCAAGCAAUGAUGCAAGGCCUGGCAGAUGAUGUAAGCUCUUCCCAAGAAUUUUGCUCAACACAUGUUUAUUCUCAAAUCCUGUUGUGCACAAUUUUUUGAGUGCAUCAUUGUCUACUAAUUAACUACCUUCUACGCAAUCCCAUUUAUUUACGAAUUUGUGAAUUGAAAUUUGAUCUUGAGUGAAGAUGAGCUUCUUUCUGACAAGUGUGCUGAUUUAUGAACCAAAUCCAAUUGUUCAUUUUUCAAUCAGAUGUUUUAAUUAAAUAUGACAUCAAAAAACUUACUU